UAUUAACAAAGUCAACUCUCUCUUUCUCUCUCACUCUCCCUCUCUCUAUGGAAACCCUAGGAUUGGGUAAACGUCGUCGCCUUCAUCUUCCUCCGCCAACAUGACCCGGACUCCCCUCCGCCACACCUGUUUUCCGACGACCAGAAACCCAAAUCCCUACAACAAAUCCCCAACCAUACAACUUCUAGAUAGCACGAUUAUUUACCCCCAUUGCCAAAUCUGGAAACGAUGAAGAAUGAAAAUCGGCGGAAACGAAGCUAAUCUGAUAUCAAUAAAGGAUAGAGAAGCAGGAAGAUCGGCAGAAUCGACGGAAUCUACACUGAAAACCUAAAAGACCGGCGGAAAUCAACGAUUCAAGGAAUUAGGUUGAUUUGAUGAAGAUUUUGAACGGUAUUGAAGUUUCUGAAGAAGAACAGAAGAAGGGCUUGCAUAACUGCACAACCCUAAACACGAAGGGGAAGAAUAAAGUACAAAAGCUCAACAUAAAGGAAGAUGAGACAUUCAACUAUGCAAAGAAAUCCAGAAAUAAGAAGAUGAGUACCUGAACUUGAAUGUGCUAAGUCCUUAGAUGGCAAACUCUUGAGUAUUGCAGAUUUCCUAAGUUUCUUCAUUGAUAGCUAUCUUUUAUGUUGGUAACAGAGAGAUAUUCUAGAUUGAAAUGACAUGAAAGCUCAAUGGAAAAGCUAAGAUUUAGGAGGUAUAGAACCACUUCUAAACCAUGAUGACCAUAAUCUGUGCAAUGAAAUGAUGAAUUUAGGACAUAGAAGAAGUUCAAGAGAACUAUAGAAAAGAAAGAAAGAAAUCAGAGACAAAUGAUAAGGGGAAUGCAAGAAAUUUAAAGAGUUAGAACCACACAUAAACCAAGAAGACCCUUCAGUUUAUCAUGGUUAUCAACAGUCUAAACCUGCAAAUAGGUUUACAAAAGGCUUCUUGGAAAUAUUAAUGUAGUUUGCUGUAAAUUUUACAAAAAUGAAAUCAAAUUAGACUUAAAAUAGAUGAUUUCUAUCUGAAUGUUCAAAAGUAUGAGCUUAAGAGACUCACAAAUGCAAACUACUAAUAUAUACACACUAAUUUUCAUUGAAAUAUAAGCUUCUUUAACUGAUUUGAUUGAAUGAAAUGCUCAAUGUUUUGUCUUAGAAAUUUCCCAAAUAUUCAAUUAGUAAAUGCUAAAUGAUGUACCAUACAGAUAUUGGACUUCAUCUGUGUUUCUACAUGUUUCUUAAUGUUGCAUAUUAUUCAAUUUAUUUGAAACAACUGCCUCCCUGUUCAAUUCAGAAGCUUAACUAUUAAACAACCUCAAUCAAUAACCUCUGCACUACUUCUAGAUAAGAAAACGAAGAAAUAAAACCACUAAUAUAGGACUUGUUAGAUGUGUAUACAUAUUUGUUUAGUCACAGAUUCACUGAUAUGGAAGAAAUGCACAGAUAGAUUGCUGCUACUUUCUUUAUAACACACACAGUUUUCAAAGAGAUUUAAAUGGAUUCUUCCAAGUGCAAAAAGUUCCAGUCAAUUACGUGCAUAAAAUGGUUGAGUGCAUAUGCAUUCAAGUUUGAAGCAGAAUUUAACACUCAUUGUUAAAGGUGGAGUUUUCUGAUCAACUUCUUAAAAUAUGUCAAACAUAUAUUCAAAAGGUUUAGUAUAUCAUAACAAAGAAAAAAAACUUCAUAUCUUUAUGUUCUUGCAGUACUACACAUUAUAUGCCAUCAAUAAUCUUUCCUGAUAGAGUGUACUAAUCUUUUCAUUUCUGAUUUCAGUAGCUCAAGUGGUGAACAACACUAAAGACAUAAGGUUUUGAAUGAGGAGAAGCAACCAAGGAAAGAAGUUAAAUCUAUACUAAUCUAAAGUGCAAGUUUGAUGAAAAGUCCUUAAUGCCCUUUUUGGAGGGAAAUUGGAAAGAUGGCCCUACUGCAGGUAUAAAAUAGUUACAAAGAGGUAUAGACACAACCAUUUCAGAAAAAGGGAGUUCUCAAUGACAAAAGAGAGGAGACAGAGAAAAGUGGCGAAGAAGAAUUUUUACAAACCUAGUAAGAAGACAAAAAGUAGCAACAGAGGAUAUGUCAUUUAAGAAAGUGAGAGGCAAAGAAGAUCUUCUACCAAAAUGAAAAAUUGGCAGGUCAGCAAGCAUAUCAGUGAAAGGUUCAGGAAGGCCAAGAAGAUAUUUCAGCAAAAUGAAAAAGUGAAACAAAAGAAAAGAAAACUGUGACAGCAAGAAGAUGCAGUGAAGAUGUAUCAGCAAAAUGGUAAAACAUGAAGAUCUUAAACACUUAGUCCACUUAUCAUUCACAGCUGCCACUGAACUGCCACUUUGGUUUAUACCUUAUCAGUGAGAGGUUCAAGAAGGCCAAGAAUGUAUUUCACCAAAAUGAAAUAGUGAAAGAGAAUGAGAGAAAUCUUUGAAGGCAAGAAGAUGCCAAGAAGAUCUAUCAGCAAAAUGAAAUAAAACAACAAAAUGAGAGAUAGCAGUGAUAGCAAAGGGAUGCCUAGAGGUUCUUUCAACAAAUUAAGUGCAAAGGGGAUUCAAUACAACCCCAAAAAGCAGCCGCCAGCCACUCUCUCCAAAGGAAAAAGGAAGAGACAAAUAGAUUGAAAUACCCUGCUAUCUACACAGAGGCUACAAAAGUUCUAAAAAAUAGAUCCUUCCAUAACAACCUCUUCAAGUCUAUAAAGAGAGGGAGCAGGCCAAACGAUGCAUAUCAAAAGGAAGAGAAGCAAUCCAUACAUAAAGCAAAAAUCAGCAACAAAUAUUAGGACAUUCAAGAAAAACAUACUUCUAAGGGACAAAUUGCAUUGGAAACAUGUUUAAUACCCUAAAAAAUUGCUUAGCAACAAAGAUAUAUGUAUUUAUUAAGCUGUCUCCUCUC